CCGAUAUGUGGUUGGCUAGUUAUAAGAAAUGAGAUAGUUGUGAAUUUAAAUGACUUAUGUAUAGAGUGUUUUGGCACAGAUGAGUGCCUAAGCCCAAAAAAAAGUGGAAUUAGUCUGUAUUGGCUUAAAAAUACUUAUAGGCAUUGGGAUGAUCUUGUUCUUGAAGGGCAAGAACUUAACCGCUAUGUUUGGGCGAUGGUGCUCUACAUUAUUGGGUCUAUUGUACUCCCUUCUACUGCUCAUGUGGUGUCUCCAUUUUUUUCACAUUUUUUAGGAAUGUUGAUGAAAUUGGAAGGUAUGCAUGGGGUGCAGCCAUCUAGCAACUCCGCAUAGGAGCCUAGAGGACCACAAAAAAUAUGAACAAAGUCUAUAUGGCAAUUUUCAUUUUGUUACGGUUGAAUGGACCCCAUAUGCUAGGCUACCGGAAAAUUUCUUGCCUUCUCCAUAUGAUGGUCAAGUUGCCCUGAAACGUGCUUUGACAUCUCUUAUAUCUCAAAAAAAGGUAAUUAUUUAUGAUCCUACUGUCCCGGAGCAAAAGCAACUACAUGCAUAUGAUCCUCUUAAAUCCAAGGUUCAUAUCUAUUCUGUACAUGACAGACAUGAUAAAUAUGAUAAAAACAAACAUAGGGGAGGACAUAAGAAAGGUCGGAGCUUGGUACAUUAAUAUUUCAUUUCAAUCUGGAAUGACAGUUGGUAGUGUUUGUAUACUGCAGGUAAUCCCCCACGGUCCCUCUUGUUUUUUCUUGUUUGUUGCUUCCUUUGUAUUCUAAAUUGUUUGGAAUGUCAUGUUGGUAUUUUUUUUAUUGACAAGGGCAAAGGAUGCAAACAAUGAGAGACAUAGGGACUCUCAUUACAACUUGCUCUCUCUUGGUAUUGUUCGUUAGAUAUUUUCCAAACCAAAUUCACUAUCUAAUAUUACUUAUUAGAUAUAAGUUAUUUAAAUUUGUGUAGAGAACUUAGAGCAGCAAGAUCACCAAUUGGGACAUGAUAACCCCAUCGGGUAGCAACAAUAGCAGAUGGAUUAUGAGGAUCUAUUAGGGCAUGAUGAUCCCAUAGAGCAGGAGCAGCUGAUUAUUAGCUUCCAAAGCCAGUUGGGACAUGAUGACCCCGUAGAGUAGGAGUAGUUGAUUGCUAGCUCUUAGAGUAAUCUACGGUUGUGCCCCAAAUAUGGACAGAUAGCCAAUAAAUGUACUUCGAGUAUUAAGAAACCUAAGUGGCAGAUUGGUCUCCAUAAAAAAGUAGAUUUGGAAAAUGUUCUGCCCACUUGCGUAAAAAGACCAUUGAAAAUUCCACCCUUUCUUUCUCAAUCCAAAUUCAAAAUGGACAAUAUUAUUACUAGGCUUUAUCUUGAAAGAGUGGAGGUAACUAAUUGAAACA